rnacentral:lncRNA from 10 species
AGUCGGAGUAAGAAUGCCUGCAGAGACCUGGACCAGAGUGGGCAGAAUGGAGAUGGAGUCUCACUCUGCCGCCCGAGCUGGAGUACAGUGGUGUGAUCUCGGCUCACUGCAACCUCCACCACCUGGGUUCAAGCGAUUCUCCUGUCUCAGCUUCCCGAAUAGCUGGGACAACAGGCUGGAGUAUAGUGGUGCGAUCAUAGCUAGCUGCAGCCUUGAACUCCUCCUCAAGCAAUCCUUCCUCCUUGGCCUCGCAAAGUCCUGGGAUUACAGGCGUGAGCUACUGGGCCUGACCUACAAAAUGUUUUAUGCUUUCGUGAGUACUAGGUUUCUGAUUUCAGC